rnacentral:rRNA from 1 species
AACGAACGCUGGCGGCGUGGAUAAGACAUGCAAGUCGAACGCUGAUUUCAGGGUAGCAAUAUUCUGGAGUCGGAGUGGCGCAAGGGUGCGUAACACGUGGGUAAUCUGCCGCGAAGACCGGGAUAACUUGCUGAAAGGCGAGCUAAUACCGGAUGUGGUUGUUGGGGGGCAUCUCCUGGCAAUCGAAGUUGGGGACCGUAAGGCCUGACACUUCGCGAUGAGCCCGCGGCCUAUCAGCUAGUUGGUGAGGUAACGGCUCACCAAGGCUAAGACGGGUAGCUGGUCUGAGAGGACGACCAGCCUCACUGGAACUGAGACACGGUCCAGACACCUACGGGAGGCAG